CUUCUCUCUUUUUCUUUUCUAAGCUUCAACAGUUGCUACCAAUAUAACCCUUAAUAAAGUCAAGAGACACUUCUCUCAUAUCCCCCACAAAAAAAAGGUGAAGAAAGAUCUAGGGGUCUUAAUAUUAUUUUUAACACCCAUAGAAAAUUUAUAUUAUGAGUUUUUCUACUCUAAAUAACAAGAAACUAUAGAAAUCCAUACCUUCUUCUUUUUGGAUUAAUUUAAGAGAUUUUGUAUAUCCAUAUUCGAGAUAGUGCCUGCCAAAGAAUAUAAGAAAGAGUUCUUAUUAUCACACACGGCAUAAAAGAA